GAUGGCUGCUGUGUGCUUAGAGAGAAGGGAGAGGGAGAGCUUGUGAGUUCUAGAGAGAGAGGUGGAGAAGAAGAACGUGAAGGAGAAGAGAAUGAGAAGAAAGAAGAGGCCAAGGCUAGGGAUCCUAAGGUUUGGAUUUUGUUGCAAGAGGAUUGGCGGCUAGUGUUCGAAAUCCCUAAGGCUUGAACAAGUGGUGGCCAUAGUUUGGGUUAUUGUCACUAUUGUCCUUGAGUUCUAGCAAGAGAGGUAGCAAAUAGGUUUUCUCUGUGGCACGCGUGGUGAUGUGGGAAGUUCUAUCGUCUUGGUGUGUAUGGCGUGGGGGCAUCCUAUGGACGAAAAAUGAUCAAUUAAAAAAAUUCCAUUCUUAAUAAUGUUAUGUUUUAUGAGACUUUUUUUUUAAAACUUAUCAGUGGGACUUGAAUUAUUGGUUGUUUUAGAACUUUGCAUAAAAACUGAUAUUUUCUUU